rnacentral:rRNA from 1 species
UUUGACUGGGGCGGUCUCCUCCCAAAGCGUAACGGAGGAGCACGAAGGUUAGCUAAUCCUGGUCGGACAUCAGGAGGUUAGUGCAAUGGCAUAAGCUAGCUUGACUGCGAGCGUGACGGCGCGAGCAGGUGCGAAAGCAGGUCAUAGUGAUCCGGUGGUUCUGAAUGGAAGGGCCAUCGCUCAACGGAUAAAAGGUACUCCGGGGAUAACAGGCUGAUACCGCCCAAGAGUUCAUAUCGACGGCGGUGUUUGGCACCUCGAUGUCGGCUCAUCACAUCCUGGGGCUGAAGUAGGUCCCAAGGGUAUGGCUGUUCGCCAUUUAAAGUGGUACGCGAGCUGGGUUUAGAACGUCGUGAGACAGUUCGGUCCCUAUCUGCCGUGGGCGCUGGAGAAUUGAGGGGGGCUGCUCCUAGUACGAGAGGACCGGAGUGGACGCAUCACUGGUGUUCGGGUUGUCAUGCCAAUGGCACUGCCCGGUAGCUAAAUGCGGAAGAGAUAAGUGCUGAAAGCAUCUAAGCACGAAACUUGCCCCGAGAUGAGUUCUCCCUGAGACUUUAAGUCUCCUGAAGGAACGUUAAAGACGAUGACGUUGAUAGGCCGGGUGUGUAAGCGCAGCGAUGCGUUGAGCUAACCGGUACUAAUGAACCGUGAGGCUUAACCUU